UACGAAGGGUGCUAGCGUUGUUCGGAAUCACUGGGCGUAAAGCGCGCGUAGGCGGCGUAACAAGUCAGAGGUGAAAUCCCCAGGCUCAACCUGGGAAUUGCCUUUGAAACUGUUAUGCUUGAGUGUCGGAGGGGAUAGCGGAAUUGCUAAUGUAGAGGUGAAAUUCGUAGAUAUUAGCAGGAACACCGGUGGCGAAGGCGGCUAUCUGGACGACAACUGACGCUGAGGCGCGAAAGCGCGGGGAUCAAACAGGG
rnacentral:rRNA from 1 species